rnacentral:tRNA from 2 species
GCCUCAGUGGCAUAGGGGUAUCGCGCGUCCUUGGUAAGGACGAGGUCGUGGGUUCAAAUCCCACCUGAGGCU